GCAUCGGCAGAGCAUAAUCCCAAUUCAGGUGUAAUGUUUUCCCUUUUGUCUUCUCAUAGGAGCUGACUAAGUUGGCUUGGCUGUACAUAGGAGGAAGACCCUGAUCCCUAGUGCUCAACACAAAAACGCUUCAAUAAUCCCCUGAGAUUGUUUUACCUUGCAACACUCUCUGGAAAAUUGUUGUUCCAGGAAUGUAAUGAAAAGAUCUGCAAGAGAGUACAGCCCCUGUUGACUGACUUGUCUUGAUCAAACCAGAGCUUCUGGCUGGGAUACUGGUAUCUCGAGAGAGUCAUGGCAGGAGAUACAUGCUGGAGCUGAGGACGUAGUAGAGACAGCAGAAAAGGUAGGAGACAGCAAGAGGAGAGCAGCCUACAGAUGAGAAGACAAGUAAUUUACCCUGAAGUUCUGGGACUGCUGUAGGUCACAGGAAAAAUCCUUCUGAGAGAUUUUGAUUUUAGGUUUUGAUUGUACUUCUGUUUCUAUGAAUGAUAGAAGAAGAAGCCUAUGAAGUAUACAUUUUCGUAGUAUUUUAUAGAUGAGAAUCAGUGUUUUUAAGCUAUUAACUGAGUCACCUAAUUAGUUAAUGAAAGAGUGGGAUUACAACCCAAGUGUGUUUGAUCUCAGAGACCAUGCUUUCUAAUUCACAAAUACUCUUUCCCUAGUAGAAUCCAUACCAGUGUUUUCCAAACUUGUUUAUUCUGUGAGAUAAACAAAAGUAAAAUUAGAGUAUGAUUUGCAAUAAAAGUAGUUGUUGGUGGUGAAUUAGAGGCAAGAGUCAGAAAGACCAUGUAAUUGAAUAUGUGA
rnacentral:lncRNA from 1 species